UACGGGGGGAGCAAGCGUUGUUCGGAUUUACUGGGCGUAAAGGGCGCGUAGGCGGCCACCGCAAGUCAGUUGUGAAAUCUCUGGGCUUAACCCAGAACGGUCAGCUGAUACUGCGGGGCUAGAGUGCAGAAGGGGCAACUGGAAUUCUCGGUGUAGCGGUGAAAUGCGUAGAUAUCGGGAGGAACACCUGCGGCGAAGGCGGGUUGCUGGGCUGACACUGACGCUGACAGCGCGAAAGCUAGGGGAGCGAACGGG
rnacentral:rRNA from 1 species